rnacentral:Y_RNA from 1 species
GGCUGGUCCAAAGGUAGUGACUUAUCUCAACUGAUUGUUCAGUCAGUUACAGAUCGAACUCCUUGUUCUACUCUUUCGCCCCCUCUCACUACUGCACUUGACUAGUCAAAA